rnacentral:tRNA from 1 species
AGAAAGAACACUGGAACUGCUAAUCCCAUUUUUCCACAAUUAACAAUGUGGCUUUCUU